GCAGUGGAAGUGCUGGUUCAAUACGCAGAAUGGGUGGUUUUAAAGAAAACAUGGACAUGUUGACAUAUGACAUACAUGCAUUGUCUCUCACUUGUGUACAAGGAAAUCAUUUCUUUGCCUCACAUAGCAGACUACUGUAUAUGGGCUGGGUUAAAAUGUGAUUUAACUUUGAAAGAAUAAGGUAAAAAUGCAAAAAAAGACAGUCUCUUGGCUUUUCAAGGUCGCUAUUAUUUUAUUUGUCAUCCAAGUAACAGCAACAGCAGCUGGUCUCUCAAAUGAAUCAUCUGACUAUUCCUGCCAAAUAGUCUUCACUAAAUCAACAGGCUCUUUAAGCGAUGACCAAAUUCCGUUUGAUACAUGGACAGUCUCAAAUGAUGCAAAGACUUCCACAUUUACAACACCUGUCACACCAAAGGCAACGUUAACAAUCAAGUCAAGUGAUGUCCCCACUGCCUCAAUUACAUCAAUGUUCACUUCAAGUGAUGUCAUAAUUCUCGCUACAACAUCAACAGUAAUAUCGAAUGAAGUCAUAACGCCCUCAGCACUCCAUAUUGUCCCUUCAACCGAUGCCAGUACUCUCUCAAAUACAUUGACCUCUCUCAAAUACAUUGAUGCCUCAACUACCAGUCAGAGCUCAAUGGGAGACAUCGUUUCUGCAUCAGCCCUCACAACAUCAACAGCUACUUCAACUGAUGCUCCCUCAAUUACCAUUGUUUUAAAUAAUGCCAAUACUCCUCAUAGUACACUCACAGUCCCUUCAAGUGAUGUCAACAAUCCCUCAACUACAUCAACAGCCACUUCAAACGAUGCCUUAAUGUCUUCUAUUUUUUCUACAGUCACUUUAAGUGAUUCUACUACUUUAUCUACUUCAAUGACAGGCUCUAUAAGUGACGUUCCAGCAAACACUUCAGUGAAAAACACUAUUGUCAGAUGUGUAUCAGGUGCUGUUGUAAAUGCCAUUAGGCUGGAAAAUGUUACUAGUCAGGUUAUCACUGCAAGUUGGAUGGGCAUCAACCUGAAUCAAGAAAUUCAGUACACAGUGAAGUUGGUGUCUUAUUCAUCCUCAAUCCAGAACGAGACCUCAGUCACCAAAGCUGUUUUCUUAGACCUUACUCCAGCAACCAUGUACACUCUCACUAUUGAGUACUUAUCCUGUGGCGUCAAGAAAAACAUUUCAAUAGACGUAGUCACAACUGGAAAAGUCUAUGAUUGUUCCACUCGAAUUCCAGGCGGAGAGUUUUUGUCUGAUUAUUUAAAUCAAUCCAGCAGCCUUUAUAAAGACUUUGUGACCAACUUCACCAUGCAGGUUGUAAAUAAUCUCCCAGAACAGUACCAAGACCUUAUCAAGACUCAACAAAUGAUGGUGGUUGUGAGAGCUGUUCGCAAUGGAAGUCUGAUUGUUGACUUUGAUCUAUUCGUUGCUUCGGUGGUCAACUUAUCAACCUCUGCCGUGCAGAUCAGUGUCAUCAAUGCCUUAAACAGAUCUGCACUCGGAGUAGAUCACAAUAGCACCUUUGUUAAAGAUGCAGAUCUUUGUCAAAGAGGAAAUUACGCAUGCUCACAAAAUGCCAGUUGUGUCACAGAGGGACCUUCAUAUUCAUGUAACUGUCAGGCGGGAUUCUAUGACAUAAACCCAGUGGUGCCUGGUACUGACUGCAUGAGCAUAUCAGUGGAUGCCACCACUACUGCAACAGCAUCAACAGUCUCACCAAGUGAUGCCACCACUGCCUCAAUUACAUCAACAGUCUCUCCAAGUGAUGCCACCACUGCCUCAAUUACAUCAACAGUCUCUCCAAGUGAUGCCACCACUGCCUUAACUACAUCAACAGUCUCUCCAAAGGAUGCCACCACUGACUCAACUACAUCAACAGUCUCGCCAAGUGAUGCCACCACUGCAUCAAUUACAUCAACAGUCUCCUCAAGUGAUGCCACCACUGCCAUAACUAGAUCAAAAGUCUCUCCAAGGGAUGCCACCACUGACUCAACUGCAUCAACAGUCUCUCCAAGUGAUGACUCCACUGCCUCAACUACAUCAACAGUCUCUCCAAGUGAUACCACCACUGACUCAACUACAUCAACAGUCUCUCCAAGUGAUGCCACCACUGCCUUAACUACAUCAACAGUCUCUCCAAAGGAUGCCACCACUGACUCAACUACACCAAUAGUCUUUCCAAGUGAUGCCACCACUGACUCAACUACAUCAACAGUCUCUCCAAGUGAUGACUCCACUGCCUCAACUACAUCAACAGUCUCUCCAAGUGUUGCCACCACUGACUCAACUACAUCAACAGUCUCUCCAAAGGAUUCCACCACUGACUCAACUGCAUCAACAGUCUCUCCAAGAGAUGCCACCACUGCCUCAACUACAUCAACAGGCUCUCCAAGUGAUGCCACCACUGACUCAACUACAUCAACAAUCUCUCCAAGUGAUGCCACCACUGACUCAACUGCAUCAACAGUCUCUCCAAGUGAUGCCACCACUGACUCAACAACAUCAACAGUUUCACCUAGUGAUGCCAACACUGCCUCAUUUACAUCAACAGUCUCUCCAAGUGAUACCACCACUGCCUUAACGAGAUCAACAGUCUCUCCAACGGAUGGCACCACUAAUUCAACUGCAUCAACAGUCUCUCCAAGUGAUGCCACCACUGCCUUAACUGCAUCAACAGUCUCUCCAAGAGAUGCCACCACUGCCUCAACUGCAUCAACAGUCUCUCCAAGUGUUGCCACCACUGACUCAACUACAUUGACAGUCUCUCCAAAGGAUGCCACCACUGACUCAACUGCAUCAACAGUCUCUCCAAGUGAUGCCACCACUGACUCAACUACAUCAACAGUCUCUCCAAGUGAUGCCACCACUGACUCAAUUACAUCAACAGUCUCUCCAAGUGAUGCCACCACUGACUCAACUACAUCAACAGUCUCUCCAAGUGAUGCCACAACUGCCUCAAUUACAUCAACUGUCUCUCCAAGGGAUGCCACCACUGCCUCAUCUACAUCAACAGUCUCUCUUAGUGAUGCAACCCCUGCCUUAACUACACCAACAAUCUCUUCAAGUGAUGCCACCACUGACUCAACUACACCAACAGUCUCGCUAAGUGAUGCCACCACUGCUUCAAGUACACCAACAGUCUCUUUAAGUGAUGCAACCACUGCCUUAACUACAUCAACAGUCUCUCCAAAGGAUGCCACCACUGACUCAACUGCAUCAACAGUCUCUCCAAAGGAUGCCACCACUGACUCAACUGCAUCAACAGUCUCUCCAAAGGAUGCCACCACUGCCUCAACUACAUCAACAGUCUCUCCAAGUGAUACCACCACUGACUCAACUACAUCAACAGUCUCUCCAAGUGAUCCCACCACUGACUCAACUACAUCAACAGUCUCACCUAGUGAUGCCACCACUGCCUCAUUUACAUCAACAGUCUCUCCUAGUGAUGCCACCACUGCCUCAUUUACAUCAACAGUCUCUCCUAGUGAUGCCACCACUGCCUCAAUCACAUCAACUGUCUCUCCAAGUGAUGCCACCACUGCUUCAACUACACCAACAGUCUCUCUAAGUGAUGCAACCACUGCCUUAACUACAUCAACAGUCUCUCCAAAGGAUGCCACCACUGACUCAACUGCAUCAACAGUCUCUCCAAAGGAUGCCACCACUGCCUCAACUGCAUCAACAGUCUCUCCAAAGGAUGCCACCACUGCCUCAACUACAUCAACAGUCUCUUCAAUUGAUGCCAGAACUUCCCCUGCUCUGUCUAGAGUCACUUCAACUGAUACCACCACUUCAGGUGAUGUCAUCACUUCCUCUAUGACAUUGACAGUCACUUCAAGUGAUGCCUCUAGAAGAAAUCAGACCUCAAUGGGAGAAACUCUUACUGCAACAGCUCCCACAAUAUCAACAGUCCCUUCAACUGAUGCUCCCUCAAAUACCGUUGUUUUAAAUGAUGCCAAAACUCCUCAUAGUACAAUCACAGUCCCUUCAAGUGAUGCCAACAAUCCCUCAACUACAUCAACAGCCACUUCAAACGAUGCCUUAAUGUCUUCUAUUCUUUCUACAGUCACUUUAAGUGAUUCUACUACUUUAUCUACUUCAAUGACAGGCUCUACAAAUGAUGUUCCAGCAAACACUUCAGUGAAAAACACUACUGUCAGAUGUGUAUCAAGUGCUGUUGUAAAUGCCAUUAGGCUGGAAAAUGUUACUAAUCAGGUUAUCACUGCAAGUUGGAUGGGCAUCAACCUGAAUCAAGAAAUUCAGUACACAGUGAAGUUGGUGUCUUAUUCAUCCUCAAUCCAGAACGAGACCUCAGUCACCAAAGCUGUUUUCUUAGACCUUACUCCAGCAACCAUGUACACUCUCACUAUUGAGUACUUAUCCUGUGGCGUCAAGAAAAACAUUUCAAUAGACGUAGUCACAACUGGAAAGGUCUAUGAAUGUUCCACUCGAAUUCCGAGUGGAGAGUUUUUCUCUGAUUAUUUAAAUCAAUCCAGCAGCCUUUAUAAAGACUUUGUGAUCAAUUUCACCAUCCAGGUUGUAAAUAAUCUCCCAAAACAAUACCAGGACCUUAUAAGUGCUCAACAAAUGAUGGUGAUUGUGAGAGAUGUUCGCCAAGGAAGUGUGAUCGUUGACUUUGAUCUGGUGACUGCUUUCGAUGUUAACCUAUCAACGUCUGAUGUCAGGACGAGUGUCAUCAAUGCCCUGAACUUAUCUACACUCAGAGUAGAUCUCAAUAGUACCCAUGUUCAAGAUGCAGAUCUUUGCCAAAGAGGAAUUUACGCAUGCUCACAAAAUGCCAGUUGUGUCACAGAGGGACCUUCAUAUUCAUGUAACUGUAAGGCGGGAUUCAAUGACAUAAACCCAGUGGUGCCUGGUACUGACUGCAUGAUCAUAUCAGUGGAUGCCACCACUGACUCAACUGCAUCAACAGUCUCUCCAAGUGAUGCAACCACUGCCUUAACUACAUCAACAGUCUCUCCAAGUGAUGCCACCACUGCCUCAAUUACAUCAACAGUCUCUCCAAGUGAUGCCACCACUGCCUCAAUUACAUCAAUAGUCUCUCCAAGUGAUGCCACCACUGACUCAACUCCAUCAACAGUCUCUCCAAGUGAUGCCACCACUGCCUCAACUACAUCAACAGUCUCUCCAAGUUAUGCCACCACUGACUCAACUGCAUCAACAGUCUCUCCAAGUGAUGCCACCACUGCCUCAACUACAUCAACAGUCUCUCCAAGUGAUGCCACCACUGCCUUAACUACAUCAACAGUCUCUCCAAAGGAUGUCAUUAGUCCCUCUACCUCGUUGACGUUCACUUCAAGUGAUAGCUCCACUACCCUUCAGGCCUCAAUGGGAGACAUUGUUUCUGCAUCAGCCCCCACAACAUCAGCAGCUACUUCAAGUGUUGCCAUCUCUUCCUUUAGGAUAUCGGCAGUUUCCUCAAGUGAUGUCACCUAUCUCUCAACUAGAUUGCCAGUCUCUUCAAUUGAUGCCAGAACUUCCUCUGCACCUUCUAGAGUCAUUUCAACUGAUACCACCAUUUCAAGUGAUGUCAUCACUUCCUCUAAGAUUUCGACAGUCACCUCGAGUGAUUCUUCAUCUACCAGCCAAUCCUCACUGGGAAGCACUGUUUUGACAACAGUCUUCACCAAUGCAUCCAUAGAAACUAAAGUCCCAACAAUAUUAACAGUGAUUUCAACUGAUGCCACCAUUCCUCCUUCUACAUCAACAGUCUCUUCAAAUAGUGUUUCCUCAUCUACAUCAGUACAUCCAAUUAAUGUCAAAACAACUUCCCAGACAUCCUCUUCAAUUCAGAAUCUGUCGUAUACAUAUUCAGUAACUUCAAGUGAUGCCUCCAAUUCCAGUCAAACCUCAGUGAGAAGCAUUGAUUCAUCAACUGCCACAAUAAACACUAAUGCAUCCAUAGAGACUUUAGCCCCCUUGACAUCAACAGUGAAUUCAAGUGAUUCCAAUACUCCUUCUAUAUCUUCUACAGUAAUUUCCAAUGCCACAUCUCCCUAUUCGACAUUGAUAGUCACUGCAAGUUAUGCCACCACUCCCUUUGCUAGAUCACAAGUAACAAGUCUGGCCACCACUCUAAGACCAACUCCUUCCUCAUCCAGUGCUACUCCAGUGACGACAAGACCAGAAACAACCUCAACUGCAGUCCCAGUAAUCAAUUCUUCAGACACCUCACUUGGAACCGUAUCAAGAGACACCACUUUGGUGACUACUGUCCAAAAUACUUUUACAGGAUGUGGUGCUGUAGUGAAUGCCAUCCGGCUAGAAAAUAUCACUAGCCAGGUUAUCAUUGUGAGUUGGAUGGGAAUCAACCUGAAUCAAGAAAUUCAGUACAUAGUGAAGUUGGUGUCUUAUUCAUCCUCAAUCCAGAACGAGACCUCAGUCACCAAAGCUGUUUUCUCAGACCUUACUCCAGCAACCAUGUACACUCUCACUAUUGAGUACUUAUCCUGUGGCGUCAAGAAAAACAUUUCAAUAGACGUAGUCACAACUGGAAAGGUCUAUGAAUGUUCCACUCGAAUUCCGAGUGGAGAGUUUUUCUCUGAUUAUUUAAAUCAAUCCAGCAGCCUUUAUAAAGACUUUGUGAUCAAUUUCACCAUCCAGGUUGAGACUAAUCUCCCAAAACAAUACCAGGACCUUAUAAGUGCUCAACAAAUGAUGGUGAUUGUGAGAGAUGUUCGCCAAGGAAGUGUGAUCGUUGACUUUGAUCUGGUGACUGCUUUCGAUGUUAACCUAUCAACGUCUGAUGUCAGGACGAGUGUCAUCAAUGCCCUGAACUUAUCUACACUCAGAGUAGAUCUCAAUAGUACCCAUGUUCAAGAUGCAAAUCUCUGCCAACGAGGAAAUUACGCAUGCUCACAAAAUGCCAGUUGUGUCACAGAGGGACCUUCAUAUUCCUGUAAAUGUCAGGUGGGAUUGUACAGUGAAAACCCUGCCUUGCCUGGUACUGCCUGCAUGAUCACUUCAAGUAAUGCCACCACUCCCUCAACUUCAUUCACAGUCUCUUCAAGUGAUGCCAUAACUCUCCCUGCUCCAUCAACAGUCACUUCAGGAGUUCCCCAAAUAUCAAUGGCCCCAGCUGAAGGCUGGAAAGUAGCAACCAUAGUCCUUGGAGUUCUGCUGGGCUUCAUUUUGUUAGUUGUGGUUUUUGCUUUGAUCAUGACUGCACUGAGAUCAACUAACAGGAUCAUGUCAUACAACAUCCAUCAGCCAGAGGACAACAUACAGGUGGUGUCCACUGACUACAUACAUAAACACUAUUCUAACUGUGUGUAG
ensembl:lncRNA